rnacentral:rRNA from 1 species
AUUGAACGCUGGCGGCAUGCCUUACACAUGCAAGUCGAACGGCAGCGGGGGAGAAGCUUGCUUUUCCUGCCGGCGAGUGGCGCACGGGUGAGUAAUACAUCGGAACGUGCCCUGUAGUGGGGGAUAACUAGUCUAAAGAUUAGCUAAUACCGCAUACGUCCUUAGGGUGAAAGUGGGGGACCGCAACGCCUCAUGCUAUAGCAUCGGCCGAUGUCUGAUUAGCUAGUUGGUGGGGUAAAGGCCUACCAAGGCGACGAUCAGUAGCUGGUCUGAGAGGACGAUCAGCCACACUGGGACUGAGACACGGCCCAGACUCCUACGGGAGGCAGCAGUGGGGAAUUUUGGACAAUGGGCGAAAGCCUGAUCCAGCAAUGCCGCGUGUGUGAAGAAGGCCUUCGGGUUGUAAAGCACUUUUGUCCGGAAAGAAAUGGCUCUGGUUAAUACCUGGGGUCGAUGACGGUACCGGAAGAAUAAGGACCGGCUAACUACGUGCCAGCCGCCGCGGUAA